rnacentral:rRNA from 1 species
AACGAACGCUGGCGGCAUGCCUAACACAUGCAAGUCGAACGGUGUUCCCGCUUCGGCGGGGGCAUAGUGGCGCACGGGUGAGUAACGCGUGGGAACCUGCCCCGUGGUACGGAACAACUCCGGGAAACUGGAGCUAAUACCGUAUGUGUCCCCUGGGACAAAGAUUGCAUCGCCAUGGGAGGGGCCCGCGUAGGAUUAGGUAGUUGGCGGGGUAACGGCCCACCAAGCCCGCGAUCCUUAGCUGGUCUGAGAGGAUGAUCAGCCACACUGGGACUGAGACACGGCCCAGACUCCUACGGGAGGCAGCAGUGGGGAAUAUUGGACAAUGGGCGCAAGCCUGAUCCAGCAAUGCCGCGUGUGUGAUGAAGGCCUUCGGGUUGUAAAGCUCUUUCGCACGCGACGAUGAUGACGGUAGCGUGAGAAGAAGCCCCGGCUAACUUCGUGCCAGCCGCCGCCGUAA